GCCGUGCGUCAACGUGCGCAUACGUCGGGCAGUCUGGUUGGAAGCUCGCAAGUUGCGAGCUUCCAACCAGACUGCCCGACGUAUGCGCACGUUGGUGCACGGCAGAC
rnacentral:pre_miRNA from 1 species